GAUGAACGCUAGCGGCAGGCUUAAUACAUGCAAGUCGAGGGGCAGCAUAGUGUAGCAAUACAUGGGUGGCGACCGGCAAACGGGUGCGGAACACGUACAGAACCUUCCUUCGAGCGGGGAAUAGCCCAGAGAAAUUUGGAUUAAUACCACAUAGUAUAUUGGAGUGGCAUCACUUUAAUAUUAAAGAUUUAUCACUUGAAGAUGGCUGUGCGUCUGAUUAGGUAGUUGGUGAGGUAAUGGCUCACCAAGCCAGCGAUCAGUAACUGGUGUGAGAGCACGACCAGUCACACGGGCACUGAGACACGGGCCCGACUCCUACGGGAGGCAGCAGUAAGGAAUAUUGGUCAAUGGACGCAAGUCUGAACCAGCCAUGCCGCGUGGAGGAUGAAGGUCCUCUGGAUUGUAAACUUCUUUUAUCUGGGACGAAAAAGGGCCUUUCUAGGUCAACUGACGGUACCAGAUGAAUAAGCACCGGCUAACUCCGUGCCAGCCGCCGCGGUAAUAC
rnacentral:rRNA from 1 species